GAGUCCCUGCUUUGACCCUGUUUGCAAACUCUUGUUUCAUCGUUUAAGCGAUUAAAUCUCUCGAGUAGACGCUGUCUCUUUAGAUGCAAGGGCAAAAUAGCACUUUAUGGACUUACACAGAGGACAUCAUGUUUAAUACGGUUCCGGAAAAAUCAGUCAGAAGUUGUUCACGGAGUUUUCACAAUAACUGCUUCUCAUGAACCGAAGCUGCGCGACGUCUCCUCCUGAAAGUUGGAUUACCGUGCACUUCUGGAUCACAGGCUAUUCGCAGCUGGACACAUCCUUCUACACUGUAUGCAAACAUGCAACAUCAUUACACACAGUACAAGGAGUCAGACUGGCAUAUGAGGAGCAAAGGAACCCAGGCAGUAGCAUCGUUUCACAAUGUUUCCAUCACCAUCAUCAGUGGAUGCCUUUGCCGUCCGUAGCCUGAGAUUUCAGAUUUGCAGCAAAAAAUGUGACUUUCCCAUUUAUUGGAAUGCUGUGCAGCCAUCCAUUACAAUGUCACCAAGCCGUAACAAAAGCAGGAGAGGGAAAGUACAAGGCUAUGUUCCCAAAACACACAAGUGACAUACUGUAAGCAGUAAUGUUUUAUUUCAAAUACAUUCAUAAUUAAAAACUUAAUGUAUGAAGCAGG